rnacentral:rRNA from 1 species
ACGAGUGGCGGACGGGUGAGUAAUGUCUGGGAAACUGCCUGAUGGAGGGGGAUAACUACUGGAAACGGUAGCUAAUACCGCAUAACGUCUACGGACCAAAGUGGGGGACCUUCGGGCCUCAUGCCAUCAGAUGUGCCCAGAUGGGAUUAGCUAGUAGGUGGGGUAACGGCUCACCUAGGCGACGAUCCCUAGCUGGUCUGAGAGGAUGACCAGCCACACUGGAACUGAGACACGGUCCAGACUCCUACGGGAGGCAGCAGUGGGGAAUAUUGCACAAUGGGCGCAAGCCUGAUGCAGCCAUGCCGCGUGUAUGAAGAAGGCCUUCGGGUUGUAAAG